CCUACGGGAGGCAGCAGUGAGGAAUAUUGGUCAAUGGGCGCAAGCCUGAACCAGCCAUGUAGCGUGAAGGAUGACGGUUUUUUUGAUUGUAAACUUCUUUUCUGUGCGAUUAAAGUGUGGCAUUUAUGCCAUAUUGCAGUUAUCUCAGGAAUAAGCAUCGGCUAACUCCGUGCCAGCAGCCGCGGUAAUACGGAGGAUGCGAGCGUUAUCCGGAUUUAUUGGGUUUAAAGGGAGCGUAGAUGGUUUUUUAAGUCAGCUGUCAAAUGUAUGGGCUCAACCCUUAUUAUCAGUUGAAACUGUAAGACUUGAGUGCGGUGUGGGUACAUGGAAUUCGUGGUGUAGCGGUGAAAUGCAUAGAUAUCACGAAGAACUCCGAAAGCGUAGGCAUUGUACCAUAGCGCCACUGACAUU
rnacentral:rRNA from 1 species